rnacentral:misc_RNA from 1 species
GUACACCCAGGCACCGCUCGUGUGCUACACACACGCGCACGUUGGUUGGUACUCAGCCACUCUUACCUUUCGACCAAACGCGUGCACACGAUGCGGCAGCUGAAGCGCCUGGACGUUUUCCCAAAGUUCGACCGCAAGUUCGAGCAGGAUGCGCGGCACCGCACCGUGUCGGGCGGCGUCCUCUCUGUCGUCGCUAUUGUCGUCAUUAUCUGGCUCCUCGUUGGCGAAGUCCGCUACUUCCUCUCAGUCGAGGAGCACCAAGAGAUGUUUGUCGACACCAAGGUCGGAGGUGACAUGCAAGUCACCGUCAACGUCACUUUCAACCACGUGCCGUGCGACCUCAUCACCCUGGACGCCGUGGACAUCUUUGGCGUAUUUGCGAACGACGUUGAGGGCAACACAGUGAAGCAGCGCAUCGACGCGGCGACGGGGCAGGUGAUCAGUGCCGCCCGUGCCAUGGUGGAUGAGAAGAAGGUGAUGACCAAGGCGAUCGACGCGGACGGGGCGGAGAAGGAAAACUGCCCCAGCUGCUACGGCGCUGAGCGCAACCCGGGAGAUUGCUGUCACACCUGCGAGGAUGUCCGGCAGGCGUACGCGCGGAGAGGGUGGAAGCUGGACAUCGAUGAAAUCAGCGUGGAGCAGUGCGCCGAAGAUCGCAUCAAGAUGGCCGCCGCUGCUUCUGGAAAGGAGGGGUGCAACUUGUACGCGACCUUUGCGGCCUCGCGCGCCACUGGCAGCCUGCAGUUCAUUCCCGGUCGCAUCUACGAGACCCUUGGUCGGCGGAUGCACGAUCUCAUGGGUAGCACCACCCGCAAGCUGGACCUCAGCCACACCGUGCACACCCUCGAGUUUGGCGACCCCUUCCCAGGCCAGCAGAAUCCGCUGGACGGCACCGCGCAAGGGUCUGCCCUCAGCGGGGACGCGAAGGAUGCGAUGAACGGCCGCUUCAGCUACUUUGUGAAGCUCGUCCCGACCACAUACCAGCGCUAUUCCCUCAUCACAGGCCUGCAAGACGCGGUGGAGUCGAAUCAGUACUCGGCCACGCACCACUUCACCCCGAGUGAGGCGGCGAAGGCGGUGUCGCAGACGCCAAAGAAGCAGGAGAUCGUUCCUGGCGUGUUCAUGACGUAUGACCUCUCUCCUGUGCGCAUUCUGGUUCAGGAGAGGCAUCCGUACCCCUCUCUGGUUCACUUUGUGCUGCAGCUGUGCGCCGUGUGCGGUGGAGUGCUGACCGUGGUGGGCCUAGUGGACUCCAUGUGCUUCCACAGUGUCCGCAAGAUCCGCAAGAUGUGUACCGGGAAGCUGUUGUAGUCGAUCGGCGAAGCGAAG